rnacentral:tRNA from 1 species
ACCUACCUUGCUCAGAUUGUAGAGCAUGUGACUCUUGAUCUCAUGGUUGUGAGUUUGAGUCCCAUGUUGGGAG